rnacentral:rRNA from 1 species
CCUACGGUGAGCAGCAGUCGAGAAUCAUUCACAAUGGGGGAAACCCUGAUGGUGCGACGCCGCGUGGGGGAAUGAAGGUCUUCGGAUUGUAAACCCCUGUCAUGUGGGAGCAAAUUCAAAAGAUAGUACCACAAGAGGAAGAGACGGGUAACUCUGUGCCAGCAGCCGCGGUAAUACAGAGGUCUCAAGCGUUGUUCGGAAUCACUGGGCGUAAAGCGUGCGUAGGUUGUUUCGUAGGUCGUGUGUGAAAGGCGCGGGCUCACCCCGCGGACGGCACAUGAUACUGCGAGACUAGAGUAAUGGAGGGGGAACCGGAAUUCUCGGUGUAGCAGUGAAAUGCGUAGAUAUCGAGAGGAACACUCGUGGCGAAGGCGGGUUCCUGGACAUUAACUGACGCUGAGGCACGAAGGCCAGGGGAGCGAAAGGGAUUAGAUACCCUUGUAGUC